CCUACGGGAGGCAGCAGUGGGGAAUAUUGGACAAUGGGCGAAAGCCUGAUCCAGCAAUGCCGCGUGAGUGAUGAAGGCCUUCGGGUCGUAAAGCUCUUUUACCAGGGAUGAUAAUGACAGUACCUGGAGAAUAAGCUCCGGCUAACUCCGUGCCAGCAGCCGCGGUAAUACGGAGGGAGCUAGCGUUGUUCGGAAUUACUGGGCGUAAAGAGUACGUAGGCGGUUAUUCAAGUCAGAGGUGAAAGCCCGGGGCUCAGCCCCGGAACUGCCUUUGAAACUAGAUAACUAGAGUCUUGGAGAGGUUAGUGGAAUUCCGAGUGUAGAGGUGAAAUUCGUAGAUAUUCGGAAGAACACCAGUGGCGAAGGCGACUAACUGGACAAGUACUGACGCUGAGGUACGAAAGCGUGGGGAGCAAACAGGAUUAGAUACCCUGGUAGUCCACGCCGUAAACGAUGAUAACUAGUUGUUCGGUCACUUGGUGUACUGAGUGACGCGAGCUACGACAUUAAGUUAUCCGUCCGUCGGGUAGGUACGGUCGUCGAGAGUUAAACGUACAAUAGAAGUUAGACGGUCGUGAGACGUUGUCCGACGGACGACGACGAGGGAGGAGG
rnacentral:rRNA from 1 species